UUUCUCUUAUUUUCUUCGUCAUCACAAAUCACAACAUUAUAUUUUAAUAAAAAUUGCGUCAAAUAUUGCACUAUACUGUUUAUAUGUUAUACGGUUUAUGUUACGGUAUUUAUUUAUAAAUUAUUAAGAGAAAUUCUCCAAGGACGCCCAAACAUCAUGUCCUUGUGUUUUGGCAUAACCUAGGAUAAGGAAAAACUUGAUUACCAUGAUUACACCUUUCGAUGAAUUCGUGUAUUUAAUUAAUCAUGUCGUACUUGGGGACGAACCGUUAUCCCAAAAGAUGAAGAUGAUGAAGAACACAGACUGGUUAUCAAACGAGAUGAACUUAAUUACACGCAACGAAUUGAGUCAAAUUGUUAGGUACGCAAACCAAGAAAUAAAAACAAAAUGAAAGCAACCUGUAAUAAAGUAAUACUAAUUGACCAGGGUAUAAACAAAUAUUGAUAUAAAUUUUGAAGGUAGUGAUGACGAUUGAAAAUCUACAUGUGGUCGUUAAUUUUUUCAUGGCCUAUUGGUUUUUAUAGCGCGGCUAUGUCCUUGCAUAAAUAUAUUGAUGUAUUUUCAUAUCUACUGAACUACAAGUUAUUGUAUAAAAUGUGAAUAACUGUAUCAAAUUUAAAUUUGUAAAUGUUAUCUAGUCCUAUAUUUAUUGAUUGCUAUAUUUUAGUAUAAUAAAUGUACAUACACAAUA